ensembl:lncRNA novel transcript
ACCACGCUUUUCAUCUGUCCCGCUGCGUGUUUUCCUCUUGAUCGGGAACUCCUGCUUCUCCUUGCCUCGAAAUGGACCCCAACUGCUCCUGCUCGCCUGUUGGCUCCUGUGCCUGUGCCGGCUCCUGCAAAUGCAAAGAGUGCAAAUGCACCUCCUGCAAGAAGAGUGAGUGCAGGGCCUUCCCUGCGAAUCUGGGGGAUGGGCCAAGUUAGAGCAGGGAACCCAGAGCUCUGCAGGCAGGGGCAGGCCAAUGACCAGCUUCCCCAAACCCCUCCUUCAACACCUGAUUCAGAAUCAGACCUCAAAUUGCCUUAAAAAUGGGAGACCAGAUUACAGCCAUGGUUGAGGAAACACAAGGCAUUGACCAAGAGAGCAAGGCUUCAGAAAAGUCAUGAGAUGAAUGAGAAAGCAGAAGAGACUAAUACAUUUGAAGUGAUAACUUCAACUCAGGAAGCCAUGUUGGCAUCAUGGGCAAGAAUUGCUGUGAGAGCUGUUCAGCCUAAGGCUGUGAAUUCAUGUUCUAUUCCUGCUUCUGUUGAGGCCUUUUUGAG